AUCCAGACAGAAUGUCGGGGCUUGUUAUGCAGGCACCAUCUACGAGUGGAGAGAGGCAGCAGGCUUGUCUUUCUCCUUUGCUGACCCCCUUAGCUUAAUCUGACUGGAAAGAUUACUGCUGCCCAAAUGCAAAAGGCUGUGCCUACUGGGAGUGUUAGAGAAUGCCACUUGAAUCCUUUGUGCCCGAGGAGGCUCAUAAGGUUCAGGACACCUACAGAUCUUGAGGACUUUGUUGACAAGUUCUAGGUCCAUGUCUAACUAGUGGGCCAACCAUGGAAUAGUCACAGCUUCUCAACAAGACUUCCACUGAUCAAGUGAGGAAGAUGUGAAGGGAACAAACCAUGGGGAAUAGAAGAAUCUUAAACUAUGGAGAAAAAUAGGAAGGCUUCGACUACAAGUAGUGUGCAAUGAAUGAUGUGGUGUCUUUCAGCUAAAAUCUCAGGGCCUACAUUUAGGUCCCAACCCAAGCCACUGUGAGUUGAGCCCCGCUGAGUCUUUUCAUUUUGAGGAGAAUCACGUUCCUUCUUCAACUCUUCAUUUCUUCUUCUUGAAAAGAACCCAGAACCCUUCUUGAAAAAAGUCAGAGAGAACUCAUGAGUGUUUGGAAAUGAUUUACAGAGGUGAUGCCUCCAAGUUGCCAUAACUAAUGAGGAUCAGGAGACCACUUGCCUCAAUUUUCUCAGGACUCCGGGCUUUCCGGGAUAGUGGACAAAGAAGUUGCCCUACACUAAAAGAAGCCUCUCCACCCAAGAUAUGCUAUCCCACCUCAUCUCCCCAGAAUAUACGAAGAAUAUUUCCAAUGUUUUAUUUCUAAUAUGAGUUUUAGGUUCUCUGUCAUCCCAACCUUUGAUUGACAGCUAUAAUGUGGCAAGAAGACCUGCACCAGACCCUGUACAGAUAUGAUUGCCUAAUCAUGGACUUCUGGUCUACCAAACUGGAAGAUAUAAUCUUCUCAUUGUAAAUAUCCAGCUCCAGGUACUUCAUCACAGCAACUGAAAACAAAUUGACACACACUCCCUGGGAAGACAGAUGAAUUUCAUAAGACACUGGUGUAAGGAUGACCUUUCUAUGUCUCCUAGUCUGUCCAUUACUGUUGUUGGUUUUUGUUUUUGUUUUUUUUUGUUGUUGUUGUUGUUGUUGUUUUUUUGAGAAACUCUUCCUUAUAACCUUUUUCUCUUGUGAAUGACUCAGAACCCUUUCAAAUCAAGCAUUUAUCUCUUUUGGCUUUUCCCAAUUACUCUUUACAAGACAACCCCUGAACUUUCCAUGAAAGUUUGGGAAUCAAGCUGGUAUUUGUUGGGAAGAAGGUAAAAAGUGGCUUGGGAAAUAAGAAUUUCUGAAUAAUAAUGCUCCACUAAAAUAAUAUGUUUUAUAAACACCUUAUAAGCAUGCUUGACAGAUAUUCCCUGAUGACUUCUCUGUCACCUAAGUGGGUGGUGCUGGGUAGAGAUUGGAUGUGGGUUGAAAACAUCUUAUAGGGAUGGACCAAGCCUUAGAAAAGGACUCUCGGACAACCUGUGAGAACUCAAAGUAAGCGAGAGUGGGAAGCAGGCCUUACUUUCUUGCUUGUACAACCACAAGGCCUAGAGGCAGCCUUCUAUGCUGGCACAUGUAUGGCUGCACAUCUGCAUGGGUAUAACGAGUGCAUGUUACCAUUCACUAGUGUGGGUUGCUGUCUUACUCACGGCUACUAUUGCUGUGAUGAAACACUAUGACCAAAGAAAUGUGGGGAGGAAAGGGGUUAUUCAGCUUAAAUUUUUAUGUCACAGUUCAUCAUCAACCUGGAGCAAGAGUUGAUGCAGAAGUCAUGAAUGGGUGCUGCUUGCUGGCUUGCUCAGCCUACAGUUUUAUAGAGCCCAGGACUACUUUUCUGGGGGAUGACACCACCCACAAUGGGCUGGGCCCUCCUCCAUCAAUCACUAAUUAAGGAAAUGCCUUACGGGCUUGUCUACAACCCAAUGUGACAGAGGUACUUUCUUGAUUGAGGUUCCCUCUUCUCAGAUGGCUUUAACUUGUGUCAAGUUGAUAUAAAACUAACCAGCACAGUCAGUAUAAUGAUAUAAUGAUAUAAAAGUAUCCAGCACAGUCAGUAUAAUGAAAAUGAAGGCCAUGGAGUUGGGGCACUGGGCAAAUGAUUGAGUCUGUCUCGGUGUUACAGUUUCCAGCUUAGCCCUUCAUGGAGUUCUUGGGAGGGCUAUCCCAGAGCCUGGCACAUGCAGUUCACACUCCCUAACCCUUUUAUUAUCAUAGCAUGCUCCGACAGGUGCUGAGAUUGGCAUGAAAGCUCAUGUCUCAUGAGGGGUGAGCGCAGGCACCGACGGUGAACCGGCUUCAGUGUUUGGAUCUGUCAUAUUACAUUUGAAAUCUAUACUGAAAUCAAUGUGUAAAGGUCCCCUGAGAGAACUGGAGGGGUGUGCAAGAGGAGUGGAAGCAUAUGGUGGGCUGAAUGCUGGAGUCUGACUCCGGUGAUAGAAACAGGCUGGGGAAGAAAUUCAUCUUUUCAGCUCUGUCAGUCACGAAUAGUUUCCAAAUGUUGACAUUACGCAUGAUACUAAUAUACUAUAAAGGAUCUGUGUAAGACUGGAAAAACACAAACACACCCUGCAAAGCCAAGUUCUACUCAGGUCCCUUAGGGCUAGGAGCAAAUAUUCACAUCCAGCUCUGAAUAGAGCCUGCAGCAGCCCAUACCAAGAAGCCAUAGCAGCCAUCAUCUACAGAUGUGGCCACACCUGGGCUCUUCCAAAGUCAAUUUAGUCUCAUUACCUCAAACAUCUUAUUAGGGAUGUAUCCCACCUUUUUCCACGAUGAAGGACUUUUAUUUGCCUUUUGCCUCCCUUAUGGGAUUACUAGGGUGUGAUUGGUCCAUAUGGAGAAUAAAGGACCAUUUCGUACUCUCCAACCGUGGACGAGUUAUUCUGGCUGAGAGCAACCUUUUAAGUCAGGGGAAGCCACGCUAUCCAGCCAAAGUACAAAACGAACUCGCAGAGAAGCCCCUAAUGCAUUAUGGAACACAGGGCAGAAUCCAGCUGACGGUGAUGCUAAUUUUCUGCUUUUGUCAAUGAAAACCAGACGCCAGGAGGACUGGCUCUGGAGACCGGAGAGUCUUCCCGAGUUGCCACAUGGCAAUAUCAGAGAGCUGGUAUGCCUGGUGGGUGAGGUGGGGGAACCAUGUGCGGGCAAGGGCUGGCUCUCUUAUUUUCCUUGGCACAGUUUAUGGAAAAGUCAGAGAGAAUGAAUUUCAAACGAUGGGUCAAAUCUCAAGAUCUGAAACACAUUUAUUCCAUCCUGGAGGUCUCCUGCUUCCAUGGAAAUAAUUUUGAUAAGUUUGCAGCACUGGGAUUAUAAACGCACAUCGCCAUGUGCCUGGCUACUCUACAAGAGUUCCGGUUACAACACAGAUCCUCACACUUGCAGACAAAGCGGCCACAGAGGGGACGGGAAGACCAAGCUACAUAAAGACGUUUCCUCUCUGUGAGGAUGCUCAGAGCACAGCAUGUUCCAGUCAUACAAUGGACCCAUGGGAGUGCUGGAGGUGUCUCUUUCCCCUUCCUACGGUCUACAUAGAAGACGGAUUUUUGGACAUAUCUCCUGAGAAAACCAUACAGGACAGAAAAGUAGGCUGUGUGUCUAACGUAGGGUGUAAUGUAUCUAAACCUGACCUAGGAGAUCUCUGCCCUUCACCCUAGGAUUCUGGGAAAUGACAGUGUCUUUGGAAUAUCAGGUCUGGUAGGAGUAGCCUCGUCUGCCUGCUGGCUGUGAGCCACAUAUAGGCACACUUGUUUCAGGAGGAGGAGGUCUGAGGGACUUCAUCAGGCUUUGGGAUGGGGCCUAUGGGCCACAGGCUGAACCUGCUGAAGGGCUGGCCAUAUAGGUCUCCAACUUUAUUAAAGUUGUUUCAAGUCUACAAUUAAGACUGUGAUGCCCUCGGCUGAAUUUACUCUGUAUCAUUACCCGGAAUACACUGUAGCCACGGGUAGGAUUCCAUUAAGGGAGUUGUAGGGUCUUCCUGGAGUACAAUCAAAGCUGAGGGCAUUGACUCUAAGAACUGUCGUGAGACAUGAGGGGCCCUUGUAGACACACACCAUCCUCGUAACCCUGCAGCUGCGGCAGUGUCUCCUAUGUGGUCUCCCAAAAUCUCACAUUCUGACCUGCAGAAGCCUGGUUAUUCCUCGGCUCUCUUUUGUUUAUUCUGAGACAGUUUCCUGUAGUCCAAGCCUAGAUUCACACUUACUAGUAGCUUUUAACUUCCAUCUUCCUGCUCCCAUGUCCAAAGCACAGGCUCUGGCCACUCACGCUUACACGGUGCUGGAGACUGAAUCCAGGACCCCAGGCAUCCUGGGCCGGCGCUCUACCACACUCUUUUAUACACAUGGUAUCUAUCCUCUGGUGGCUUUUGUUUUGU
rnacentral:sRNA from 1 species